rnacentral:rRNA from 1 species
CCUACGGGAGGCAGCAGUGGGGGAUAUUGCACAAUGGGGGAAACCCUGAUGUAGCGACGCCGCGUGUGGGAAGACGGUCUUCUGGAUUGUAAACCACUGUCCCCAGGGACGAAAAUGACGGUACCUGGGGAGGAAGCGCCGGCUAACUACGUGCCAGCAGCCGCGGUAAUACGUAGGGAGCAAGCGUUGUCCGGAAUUACUGGGUGUAAAGGGAGCGUAGGCGGGGAUGCAAGUUGGGUGUAAAAACUACCGGCUCAACCGAUAGUCGCACUCAAAACUGCAACUCUUGAGUGAAGUAGAGGCAGGCGGAAUUCCUAGUGUAGCGGUGAAAUGCGUAGAUAUUAGGAGGAACACCGGUGGCGAAGGCGGCCUGCUGGACUGUGACUGACGUUGAGGCCCGAAGGCGUGGGGAGCAAACAGGAGUAGAUACCCCUGUAGUC